GAAUGUGUAGUGCAGAGAUGCCACUAUCUGAAACGGUUAAAUCCUAGCCUUAGGCUACUUAUUUUAAUACAUCCCUGUGCCUUUUCAUCUUCUGUGUGCCUGAUGUGUCAGUCAGAGCUUUCCACAAAAUCAAUGGUGGAGAGAAGAGAAUGGUGCUUAGUAAUUUCAGGCUUUGAGCUGGUUUGAAAGAGUGAAUGUCUUAUUUAAAUUGCCCCCUACGGGUUACUUUGUGACCGUUGUCGUGAGCCCAGGAGUCGGUCCAUCAGGAAUCUGAGUAAUCUUUAGGACUCUCCUGGCUCUCAUGUGGAGCUGAACUGCACUGAAGAUAUCUUUCACGACACAGCAUGGGGCCUCAAUUUACUGUGACAUCGGAAUGACUACAGUAUUCAUGUAACCUACUGUAUAUUCACAACCAAGGUGUAGAAUACAAUAGCCUAGUUAAAGUCUAUGGGGGCAAUGUACCAUUUGAAAUAAUAGACUGACAUGGCCUUUUCAUUUCUAAAUCACUAAUGUAUUUUGUCCAUGUAAUGACAUUUUAGAAUUAAAUGUAUUUUCAUAAUUUAGAAUUGAAGUUAAUUUCAAUUCCCUGUUUACUUUAGCCUAAUAUACAUUGGACAGACGUUGUUUUCCCCUACCAACAUCAAGUCGGUUUAAAGUGGGACAAUUUGAGCUUUACCCUUGUACUGUAAUGAUGACAGAAGUAGGAGGGAGGGAGCAGGAGGAGGAGGGUGAGGAGGAGAGGGGGCAGCCCUCCAAACACCUGCAGUCACAGACCUUCACAGCACAGGACCCUCACGAGGAGAGGACAUAUGGACCUACAUUAAGCUAUUUACUUAUUUUCGGGUGGAUGAGGGCUAUGGGAGAAUGUAGCGAUAACAUCUUAUUAUGUGAGUUACGGGUCUCCUACACCAGCUGGUUCAAAAAGGGGAAACAAAGAAGGUAGGCUACUUUGGAAAGUUUCUCCAUACACUAUUUUUUAACAUCACAAGUAUUUGUUUGUUUUUUUAGUCAGUGUGUUGAGGGACCAAAGUAAUUACCAAGAACGAGGGGUAGCCUACAUAUGGAGAGAGCGUCUACUCGCUGUCUUUUCAUGUGAGUUCACAGGUAACUGCGAUGUUAUCAGGAGCCAGUGAUCGUCAUGGUCAUGAAAUGCAUUCCUUGCAUAAUAUGCGCAGUCGACUGUUCGUAUUUUUUUCCCCUCAAACAUUUACAAGGAAAAAAAGUGAGAAAGAUUAUGGUAAAAUUAUGUUCACAGGACACAAUUUAAACCAUAAGUCAAACUUUGGGUCAAAGAGAAAAUGGACCAUGUCAAUUAUAAUGUUAGGUUUAUAAUGUUAGAAUAAGUGCUUUAUAAACCACAGCUUAAUAAUUAUGGCUGGGCACAAAUUUCAGCACUCAGGGGAAAAUAUCUAAUUUAUUUAUAGUCUAUGAAGUUCUAUUCAUGAAGUUUUAUGAAGUGCUUCAAAUAACUUAAUUU
rnacentral:lncRNA from 13 species